AACGAACGCUGGCGGCAUGCCUAACACAUGCAAGUCGAACGAGACCUUCGGGUCUAGUGGCGCACGGGUGCGUAACGCGUGGGAACCUGCCCUUAGGUUCGGAAUAACUCCCCGAAAGGGGUGCUAAUACCGGAUAAUGUCUUCGGACCAAAGAUUUAUCGCGUUUGGAUGGGCACGCGUUGGAUUAGCUUGUUGGUAGGGUAAAAGCCUACCAAGGCGACGAUCCAUAGCUGGUCUGAGAGGAUGAUCAGCCACACUGGGACUGAGACACGGCCCAGACUCCUACGGAAGGCAGGAGUGGGGAAUAUUGGACAAUGGGGGAAGGCCUGAUCCAGCAAUGCCGCGUGAGUGAUGAAGGCCGUAGGGUUGUAAAGCUCUUUUACCCGGGAUGAUAAUGACAGUACCGGGAGAAUAAGCUCCGGCUAACUCCGUG
rnacentral:rRNA from 1 species